rnacentral:rRNA from 1 species
UAGGGAAUAUUGGUCAAUGGAUGGAAGUCUGAACCAGCCAUGCCGCGUGCAGGAAGAAGGCCUUCUGGGUUGUAAACUGCUUUUGCCAGGGGAUAAAAUUUCCAUGCGUGGAGAAUUGAAGGUACCUGGUGAAUAAGCCACGGCUAACUACGUGCCAGCAGCCGCGGUAAUACGUAGGUGGCAAGCGUUGUCCGGAUUUAUUGGGUUUAAAGGGUGCGUAGGCGGCUAAUUAAGUCAGUGGUGAAAUAUCGCAGCUCAACUGUGAGGGUGCCAUUGAUACUGAUUGGCUUGAGUGGAGUCGAGGUAGGCGGAAUUGACGGUGUAGCGGUGAAAUGCUUAGAUAUCGUCAAGAACACCGAUAGUGAAGACAGCUUACUAGACUUCAACUGACGCUGAGGCACGAAAGUGUGGGGAUCAAACAG